rnacentral:rRNA from 1 species
AGUGAACGCUGGCGGUAGGCCUAACACAUGCAAGUCGAACGGCAGCACAGUAAGAGCUUGCUCUUACGGGUGGCGAGUGGCGGACGGGUGAGGAAUACAUCGGAAUCUACUUUUUCGUGGGGGAUAACGUAGGGAAACUUACGCUAAUACCGCAUACGACCUACGGGUGAAAGCAGGGGAUCUUCGGACCUUGCGCGAUUGAAUGAGCCGAUGUCGGAUUAGCUAGUUGGCGGGGUAAAGGCCCACCAAGGCGACGAUCCGUAGCUGGUCUGAGAGGCUGAUCAGCCACACGGGAACUGAGAAACGGUCCAGACUCCUACGGGAGGCAGCAGGGGGGAAUAUUGGACAAGGGGCGCAAGCCUGAUCCAGCCAUACCGCGGGGGUGAAGAAGGCCUUCGGGUUGUAAAGCCCUUUUGUUGGGAAAGAAAAGCAGCAGGUUAAAACCCCGCUGUUCUGACGGUACCCAAAGAAUAAGCACCGGCUAACUUCGU